GACGAACGCUGGCGGCGUGCCUAAUACAUGCAAGUAGGACGCAGUUGCGAACGGGUGAGUAACGCGUAGGUAACUACCUAUUAGAGGGGGAUAACUAUUGGAAACGAUAGCUAAUACCGCAUACUAGUAGAUGGACCUGCGUUGUAUUAGCUAGUAGGUAGGGUAAUGGCCUACCUAGGCAACGAUAAAUAGCCGACCUUGGAGGGGCAUUGGUAACAAUGGGCAUGAGAAACGGCGCAGACUCCUACGGGAGGCAGCAGGAGGGAAUUGUCGGCAAUGUGGGGAACCCUGACCGAGCAACGCCGCCUGAGGGAAGAAGGUUUUCGGAUCGUAAAGCUCUGUUGUUAAGGAAGCGGUACUUAACCAGAAAGGGACGGCGAACUACGUGCCAGCCGCCGCGGUAAUUC
rnacentral:rRNA from 1 species